UUUUUCUAUAAGUCAUUGACAGUGGAGCAUGAUCUGCAGCCAGGGUAAAUAGAGAGAUACCAUAUUUGGGAAGUUUUUAAAUCAAAAGUUUCAGACUUAAAUAACUUAAAGGAAAUAGGCCAAAUUUCAAGAAUUCCACUCCCAGGUUAGAGCUUUUAUCUUUCCUUUGCACCUGCUAUUGCCAACUCACAAGCCUUUUGUCAGUGAUGAAACCUCUCUCUCCUAA
rnacentral:lncRNA from 1 species